AACGAGGAGAGUAAAAAGAUUAAAACAGGAUGAGAAGUGAACUGAAGAUCACAGUCAGUUACGUCCUCUAGUGGAUUCAUCUGCACACAGCACAGUCUUGAAGCAAGAUUGAUCAAGAAACAAGUUACACGAGACUGAAGGACAGUACAGAACAGUACAGAAAGGGCACAGGGGGGAGAGAGUGGAGGGGAUGGCGUCAGAAAGGACCUCGAGCUGGGACAAUUUCAAGGAUCACCCGAAUUACAGCCACACUAUAUACACGAGGCUGCUGGUUCUAACAUUUUAGGGUCCCCUUCAGUAGAAAUCACAUUCUGCAUUCCCCGUUGUAAAAAAGUCUGGGGCGGGGAGGGUUUCUCCUUGUUAGAAAACCCCCCACCACCACGGGGUGCCCCCUCUCACGCUCGGCCCUUGGAAUCAUCCUAACAGUCCCUCCCCAUACGACGCCCCUGGUUGCAGGUUCCCUUCCCUACUGUUCAACACAUUUUCACUGCACAGAUGUACAAUUCUCUUGUCAUGAGACACAAGUAAAGCAUGUUUUUAACAGAAAUUAUAGUUUUCCACCAAAAUAAGAGAUCAGCUGGUUUUAGUCAUAAAAGUACAAGGGUUUCUCUUUUUUUGUUCAAGUGCUGCACAAAAUAUACAUAUUAUUUUACAGAAACCUUUAAAUAUUAUUGUGUUUUGAUUGUUCUUCUACAGGUUUUAACAAUACAUCCAUGCAUAAACACU